rnacentral:sRNA from 1 species
UCAUAGCCCGGAUUGCAGCGGUAUCCUUUCUUGUUGCCCUCGACUCCGCUCGGGCAACAAGAAAGAUAUAGCGGAAAGCCGGAAAAGCU